GCGUAAUCAUUGAAAAGACAGAUGGUUCUCAGUUGGAACAUCUAGGCCCAGGAGAUUUUUAUGGAGAGGAACUUCUAGUUUCCCCAUUGUGGACCUCCUCUAGUGAUGCAAAACCCAUAAACCAGUCUGUUCAGGCCAUUGAUGAUGUUCAAGCCCUUGUUCUCUUUGUCACAGACAUGGCGACCUUGAGCUUUAGUUCCAGGCGGUAUAUCAACGAGUUGCGCAUGGUGGUAACUAUUCUUCAGAAAGUAAGCUCCUCUCUAUUUAGAAGAUAUAUAAAAGAUGAAUAACUGGAUUCGCACCUUCCAUCCUAACUAGCUACUAAUAUACAAUGAUGUUACUUAUUUAAUUUAUAUAAUGUUCUCUUUAUGUUUGAGAAAUUAAUAAUGUGUCAAAUCCUAGGUGCCAAAACUUCAAACUAUGGAUAAACAAGUAUUGAAAGCAAUGUCUCAUCAUCUUUCUCCGGUUAGCUAUAAACGCGACGACUAUAUUGUUCGAGAGAACCAACCAGUUAGUAGGAUGUUCUUCGUCACGAGGGGAGAGGUAACAAAAAAUGAGAACCCUCUGGAAGCAAAUUUUAUUGGAGAAGAACUUCUUGAGUGGGUAUUGGAUAAGUCUUUUCCUACCAUAUUACCCUUGUCGACCUGCACUGUUAGAGUAGUCUCAAAUGAUGCCGAAGUCCUCAUUUUGAAGGCCAGGAUGUUGAAGAAUGUAGUCUCUAAGUUCAUGAAGCAUUUCAGCAAUUUCUCCUCUCUCUCAGAUAUCCGGUUAACUUGGCUAAAGAAAGUAAGUUGCUCCAUCUGCAGUACUAACUUUUAACCAAUUUGCUUUAUAUUUUUCUUAACUGACAAUGUCACAUCUAUCUAAUUUUAGGUGGAAAUCUUUCAACAAAUGGAUGAACAAGUGUUGGAAGCAAUAUGCAAGUGCCUUAAGCACAUGAACUUCAAUGUUGCCAAACGCCAUAUUCUUCAAGAGAAAAAACCACUUAAAAUGAUGUUCUUCGUCAUCCGAGGAGUUGUAUUAAUUGAAAGCGAUAGUGCUUUGGAAGUGAACGUUAAAAACACCUGUGAAAUAGGAAGUUUCUAUGGAGAAGAACUUGUACAUUGGGUUACAACUUGGGUACACAAGUCCUUUCCUGCCAAACUACCUUUAUCACCUGGUUCUGCGCUAUGUAGUGUGCGUGGUGGUCCUGUCGAAAUACUUGCUCUCAAAGCCGACGACUUGAAGAGUGUAGUCUAUGAAUUGAGGUCGAAAUUCAUCACGGAAACCACCCUGCCUACAGAUUCUGAUCAGCCUCGAGAACUGACCAUCCUAAAGAAUGUAAGUUCCUCUGGAUGAAGAGAACCUGACCUAUAUAUAUAUAUUAUAUCCUAUAUAUUUUAAUCAUUAUUCUAAUUUCUCCUUUGCCUUAAAUAAAUAUGGUCUCCAAUAAUAUCCUAGGUGGAAAUCCUUAAGACUAUGAAUGAGGAAGUGUUGAAAGAAGUAUGCAAGCAUCUUACUGAAAAAACGUAUAAAGAUGAGUACAUUAUUAUGAAGGAUAAACAAAUGGAAAUGAUGUUCUUCAUCGUCAGCGGAGUUGUGUCAGUAACAAACGAGAGCUCGAAACAUUACCUUAGAGAAGGAGAAUGUCCAAAUCACAGUGGAGAUGAGCUUAUACAACGUUGGGUGCGAUCUAAAUCUACCAGCGUUUCUGCCGAAUUGCCCACCUCUCCUUCUAGUUUUUGGGCCAUCGGUGAAGUUGAAGUUCUGAUUCUUAAGGCCGAAGACUUGGCAAGUGUUCAGCUUGGUGAUCGAAUUGGUUAGUAUUAUCAUGUAUGUGCAACUAAUUAAUUAAUUUUGUCGUGAGUUGUGCAUAUAAUAACGGCAUGUGUGUAGUAAUAAGAUGUUAUCUUCCCACCGCGGCUACAUGCCUGCUUAUAUACAUACGUGCUUUCGUUGUCUGAUUUCUAGUAUUUGAUGAUCUUGGCAGGCUCUUGAGGAAAUGGCAAGGAAGAGUGAUGGUACGAUUACUUGUCCAAGGACAGGUUUGGUUUGCAAUUAAACAAAUCUGGUGAAGGCAUGUGUGUGUAUUUAUGUAUGCAACCCCGCCUUAGUUGUGACCUUUGUUGGAAAAGAUAAGGAGGUGGGGUAAUUGGUUGUACAUUAUUGUGUGGAGGUGCCAAGGUAAGCACUCUUUUUUUUCAAAUACCAAAUUUUCCUCUUCUGGGGAUUGUUUAUUAGAAAAGAAUUAUUAUUUUUUAUUUUUGGUCGAAAAUCAUAUCAUUAAAAGAAGCCCUGGAAAAGGAACAAAAGCUGGUAUCAAAUUACUUAUUAGGGAGGAAGACCAGAACUUUAGAAGCUAACUUCAACAUUUUUUUGUUUAAUUAUCCAAGGCUUAGGCUUGAAUUCAAUAUGUUUUUCAUGAAACUUGCCAAAAUUGAAAUUCUCAUUACAUCACUAGCUAGCUAGCAACAAGACAAUGAAUUAUAUGUCGGCCAUCAUCAUACAAUACGAGUUCGGCGUUAAUUUCGAUUUGAUUUUGCAUCCCACUAGAACUAUAGUAGAACCAAACAAUUCAUCAUGUUCACGUCUGACAUGAAGAAGUUGAGCGUUUGAAGAUGACCCGAGAAAGUGGUCCCCGCGGUCUCUUUGGGAGGUGGAGAUGGAAAGAAAUUCAACUUAGCCAGUCCCUUAGCAGCUGAAUAAUCCCAUGCCAUAACCUCGAGCUUAAUGGCCACUUCUCUCAUGGAGGGCCUUUCAUCCUGCAACCCUAGACAGCUUUUUAAGAGAUCAACCACUUCUUGGCUAUCUCCAAAUUUUCCUCCGUGAUUAUUUUAUCAUCAAGAAUUUGAUCCAAGCGACCCAGCAAAUAUAUAUAUAUAUAUAUAUAUAUAUAUAUUUAGUCCAUGGUAAAGCGUUUAGGAGACGAACAAAUUUAUGAGAAGAAGACUUGGGUAGAAGACUAGAAGUCUGGAAGCCAACAACUUUCGCAUUUCUUUUAUUUAUAAUCCAAGCCUUGAAUUAAAAAUGUUUUUCAUGAGGACUUGCAAAAUGAAAUUUGCUUUGGUUGGGAACGAGAAGACUUAGAAGUAGAUCUAGUCUCGAUGCUUGCUAGCUUUAACAUAUUUUAUUAAAGCCUGGAAUUAAAAAUGUUUUUCAUAAGAACUAGCUUGCACUGCAAUUUAUAAAAUCACAAAUCUUACCAAAAUGAAAUUUGCUUUGAUUUGGGAGAUGAACCAAUUUAGUCAACAAGACUUGCAGAGAAGACCAGAUUUUAUUCUCAAUGCUAACAUAACUUUUUUUUAAAAAAAAAAAAAUCCAAGUCUAGAAUUAAAAUGCUUUUUUUUUAAAUUUUUUUUUAUUGCGAUUAACUCAUACUGGAAUUAAAAGCAAACCAAAAGGUAGAGAAUAGUGAAAUAUUUAAAAUAUCAGCUAAUUUCAUUGGUUAAUGCAAAUCUUAAAAAUUAAAAUUAUUAAUUAAAUGAAGAGAAUAUGAUAAAUUCACACUUUUUCAUAUUAACAUAAUAACUGGUUUUUAUUUUACUCCAUGAAUAAUAUCUAGUUCGCUAAAUAAAAUUUGCGUUUAUUUUUAUGGAUAAUUAAAAGUUUAGGGGGAGAUUGAAGUAAAAUUUGCUUUUCUUUAACAAUUUGUGGCAUUCUCUUCUCAACUUCUCGUGUGCGGUGAAAACUGGUACGUGGGGUUAUUGGAAAUUAUGGUCUUGUAAAUUGUACGUUCCAAUCUUGUAGUUACUACCGGGGGGUCAUCCAUAUAAUUAUUCUAUUACUUCUCAUGUCCAACAUUAAAAAUUAUCCAGAAAACCAUAGUGCAGUGAAGCUGAAAAAGAAAGGAAAAUCAUUAUAAAAAAAAUAGUUACAACACAUUAAAGGAUUCUUUGCCAGAUAGAGUUCAAGAGGAUGAACAGAAAGUUAAAGUCACUACAAUAUUGUUGGGUAUAUAUGAUAGCUGAAGCCAACUGGAAUUGUUGAGCUGGCAGUGGUUAGUUCAGUGUUAGAUGGUUAGGCUGUUACGCAACAGUUUUAGAAGUUCGUUAAGAGCUUAAGAACAAGUGUAUAAAUACUCUAAGAAACCUUGUAAGGAUUUAUAAGGAUCUCACAUUAUUAGAACUUCAGCGUCUAACCUAAAACUAAACCAAUCCUAAUGCAUCAAAGACUAUGCUCUCAUGCAAUACCCAAAGUUCAUAUACGACUACAUAUGUUCAUGCAAAACUGUGAACAAAUCAUGCACUUCAAUUCAUAAGUAAAUGAGCAAAGAUCACAAACCUUGUUUUACACAGUUGUUCCGACUGCCGAAAAUCUUCUAUUCACCGGAAAUCACCUCUCUCAAGCUCAACUUUCGCUCUCAAAUACCAAGUGUUCCCUCAAGCAUAACCCUUCACCUUUUAUACUGAAGCCCUAGCAUCAGGAAGCGAAAGGGCGUAACAAUUAUGACAGCACUCAUCCAACGUGUCCACUCCUAGCAUUCAUUACAAACACAUGCUUGCACGGAAGCCUAGGCCUCAUGCUAAGCGAAGAUUUUUAUCCCAGCAAGCCAACCCCAGCAAAUCUAAUAAGUGCAUCACGAUUCGGAAACCUGUUCCGAUCGACAAAGCAUGCCGAACGGCAGGCUCACAAGGUUGAGUUCACCUCACCCGCCUAGCCGUUCUUCCUAGCAUGUCAAACGGCAGGUGCUCAGGGUCGAGUUCUCCUCACCCUCAUAGUCUUUCAUCUUUUCAUACCGAACGACAAGGGCAUAUGAUAGACUUUCCCCCAAGUACCCUUUUUCCCAACAACCCCAUUGGUUGGAGACUGGGGGGACUAUAUAAGUAUCAUCGGCAAACCACUAGGAACUUGCUAAAAUUCCUGUAGCGAGGCCCGGAUCAGAAUGUCGAAGACAUGUACGAGUACCCAACCAAGAAGUCCUUUCUCAAUCGAGAACUUGGGGGAGUCAUGUUGGUACCAUAUUUGACUAGGUCUCUCACGCCACGACACAUGGAAAUGACCUGACACCAAGCAGGGCCUAGAAGCCCAAGUUGGCCAGCCUUACGAGUGGUAGAUGCCCUGAGCACCCACUAUUGAUUCUACACUGACCGGCUCUUCACGUAGGCUCACAAUUGACAAUCGGCAUGUGUGCUCAGCACCCGUUGUCAAUUCAGGCUCCCAAAAGAUAUCUCAUAGGGAUGUGUUGUGUUCUUUACUGGUAUACUUUCUAGGAUACAUGGUAGUUCCCCAAGCUAUUCCCACAAGUCCCACAUCGAAAGUUUAUACCAAUGAAACACCAAAACUUCUAUAAAUAAGGCCUUUUGCGGGCAAAAGGUAAUAGCGACUUUACACUUAUGCCCUUACUUUGUCAUCAGCUAACUUAUAUUUUCUUCGGCUAACUUUAGUAUUGGAGGGCCUUCGGUCGGUAUCACACCAAUGUCUUAGGUCUUACCUACUGCUUUUUUCCUUUCUCUGAGAAAUGCCGACGGACAUGCUUACUGAAGGCAUAUCAGAUCACACAUCAUCCUUAAAUUUGGGCCCACUACUGAUCAUCUAGUUUUGAGCACAAACAACUGCAAUGAAGUAGAAUGUUCAAAUCACAGCGGAGAUGACCUUAUAGAAUAUUGGAUGCAAUCUAAAUAUAUUGUCUUUUCUACCAAGUUGCCCUUAUCUCCUUUUAAUUUUUGGGCCAUCGGUGAAGUUGAAGUUUUCGUUCUAAUGGCCAACGACUUGGCUGAGGUUCAGCCUCGUCCAAGUGCAACUGUAAAUUGAUUGUUCAAUUAUUCAAGUUUAUUAGCAAUUUUGUUCUGUAACUGUUGGAAUGUCAUGUGCUCUAUGUACAUAAAUCAUUCCCUGUCCAAACGCAACCGCAUAUCUCCUUCAAAAUAUCUUUCUUUUGUGGGUCGGAAAACCAAAUUGAAAUUAAUAGUAUCUACAAAUUACCUUACCGAAACGUAUUCUGUAUUUUUAUAUUGAAUUAAUUUGAAAGAAAUCCAAGUAGCUUAUCAUCUACGUGUACAUCACAUAGUUGUGCAAUCACUUGAAAGGUUCAGACGGCAAGUUGUAUAAGACUCUUUCAACGAGAAAGUCUCAAUUCCAAAUAUAUAGUUCUGUGGCCCGAAAUCACUUCCAGUCGCUUUAAGAGAGAUGAGUUGGGAGUGUAUAUUGAGUGCAUGCAUUGUAGCUAGCUGCUAAUUAUAUUCAGAGAUGCUGCUUUGCCUUGACCUGAUUCAGAUAUAUACUGUUUUUGUGUGGGAAGGAUGGAAGGAAGAGUAUCAAAAAACAAGGUUCAUCAAAUGUCAACCCUAUCUACUUAUACGCCAAAUAUUGUUCACAUGGCAAUCAUACGUCAUAGUUGAUAACUACAGUGUUUUCUUUCUUUCCAAUCUCAUUGUUUUGCGUUGAGUACAAUUUGGACACACAUAUCGUUACUGCUUAAAACGUCCACCGUCAAGACCUUAUCCAUGGAAAUUCAUUUUCCCUUAUUUCACACCUGCAAUAAUUCCACAACUAAUACUCCCAGAAAACAGGCCACAGAAAUGGGCCACGUGGCCACCUAUUCUGGACCAAACAACAUCGACAUUAUAUAUUUACCAUUUUUAUUAUGGAGAAUGCUAGCAAUCUUUUUUCUAACUUUCUUUUUUGGACUUUCUCUCUUGUACAUGUGUUACUUUCUCUACACUUAAAACAAUGUCAUUAAUGCAUUAGACAAUUUAUCUUUUUUUUCCCAAAUUGUGAAACCCCGUAUUUAUAAAAUUGUAUAGUUUGAAGAUUUGAUAUUUUGCCAUUUAAUUUAUAUAUUAUAUUAUAUUAUAUUAUAUAUGUGUGUAUUACAUAAAUAUCCUAAUACAUUAUAUAUGGAUAUGCUUAGUCAUUGUUAGUGUAGUACGUGUCAAAGAAAAACAAAUGCUUAGCAAGCAUAGCUAUAUACUAGCCUUGUCAAUUCACCAAGAAAAGUUGUAUAGGAUUGGAGGAAUUGGGAACUACCCCAUCUACAAAGCUAGACCACAUAAAAAUAACUUGGAUGGUAAGUGUUUGUAAACCGCCAAACACCAUCCAAUAGGAAGGGAGUCACUGCCGAUAUAUUCCUUAUAUAUAUAUAUAUAUAUAUAUAUAGGACGUGAGUUGCAUAGCAAACGGAAAAAAAUACAACAAGAGAGAAAUAUUGGUAGAGAGGAGUAAGGAAAAGAGUGAGAAACUGAGUUUGUGAAUUCGAUGGAAAAUUGGGAAACACUUUACAUUUCUAGCAAAAGCUUUGGUAUCAAGGUAGGGGUUUCUUGGUGACCUUUUACAAAGAUUGAUCUAAUUAAAUUUCGUGAGCUCUAUAUUAUGUGUGAUAUUGUAUAAUGUUCUUGAUAUACUAUAUUUACGUAUUGUGAACUAUUUGAAUAAUGUUAGCAUAAUUAUAUCAUGUCAUGGUAAUUGGUCGGAGUUGUUGGGUGGAGAAGAUAAUUGUGGAAAAGAGGGUAAUAAGAAGGUUCUUUUGUGUAGUUGAGUCUGACCAUUGUAGGGACCAAGUUCAGGCAAGCUCGUGUGCACAGUAGAUUAGGAAAUCGGCGGUAUAAUUGUCGAUUGGGUGAUUUGGGCUUGGAGAUCAAUGGUAUAGACAAGAUGACUAGCAAAAGGGGAAUUAUGAGAUAACUGUGAUGGGUGUUAGUUUAUAUAAUGGGGCAUUCGGAAUCACAGUGGUAAAAUGCAUGGUAUGGGACAUGCAAAUUUGCUUGCCCUACUAUAUAGAUUAACGGGUUGGGUAGAAUUGAAGAGCAUUCAUGCAUCAUUAUUAUUAUUAACAUUAAUGUGAUAUUUGGCUGUGUGAUUGCAUGUCACUUAAUUUAGUUAUAUCAAUCUACUAUGGUAAGGUCUCAUAUCCCUACUAAGCUGUGGUUGCUCAUCCCUCACCCUGUUUACUUUUUCAGAUGAAUUAGUGGGCAAGACAAGGAGUAAAUCGGUUGGGGCUGAAUUAGAUGAUAGUGAUAGAGCUUUAUUUAUUUAUUGUAAAGUUGUAAGAUUUUGGAUCUAUUUUUAUAAAAGAAGUUUAUUUUAAACCAUGUUUUGGCUUUUAUCUAUUUAUUUUAUUUUAGUUUUUAUUUUCUCACGCACUGGGCGCGGGAUUUUUACGUACCUCGGUCCGGGGCGUGACACAAAUUUACCCAUAUUAAAUGCAUUAAUUUUAUAUUUUCUUCAAUUUACAACUUAAAGUUCAAUUAAAUAAACAUUUGAAAAUAAAUUUAAAUUUUUUUUUAAAUUUAAUGAACAUUCUAAUGGAUUAAAAAAGUUAAAAAAUAAAAAGAAAUAGAAAAAAAAGAAGAUGAAAAUCCAAACCCAUUACACCAUCUGUCUCUCUCUCUGACCCAAAACCCAGCCCCCUCCCUUGGCCAAAACAACAGUCCUCAUCCGUACCCAAUCAUCAUCAUCGCUUUCCAAUCCAAAACCCCACCAUCCAUUGUACCUCUCGCUCUCUCCUCCGAUUCCAUACCAAAAAACUCAUCCCCCUUCCCUCACCAAGAAAAAAGUGAACAAUUUUUUAUAUUUUAUAUUUUAAAUCAUUGACGUUAAUUUUGUGGAAUAUGUUAAUUCUCCCUUAAUGUUUUUAACAAGAUGCAAACAAAAGUUAGUUUGUUCAAUGCAUUUAAUAAGGUAAAUUUGAGAAACAAAAGAUACAUUGUCUAAUGUAUUAAUGGCAUUUUUUAAGUAUAAAAAGUGACACAUGUCAUGAGGGGAAGAGAGAAGGUUCAAAAGAGAAAGUUAGAGAGAAGGUUGCUAACAUUCCCCUUUUAUUAUAACAUGACUUUAGUCUUUAUGAGUCCCGAUCCCUUUAAAAGUAAAGUUUGAGUAAUAAAUUACUAAAAGAAAUAAAUUAUUAGGUGUUUAAUGUACAUACCCUUAAUAAAGCCUAAACAAAGGUGUUUAGGCAAAACUCUUCUCACUGCAAAAAUUCCUAGCACAUUCUCUCCCAAAAAACACUCCUAAAGCCGUUUUUACUUUGAAAAAGGAGGAAGCCAUUGUUCUUCCUCCCAUCUCCCCUCUCCCCUCUCCCCUCUCCUCUCUUCUUUCCUCAUUUUCAUAGACAAAAGGUUUUCCCUAUUUGUCUUCGUUUUGUUAUGACAGUCAAAGUGUUAUAUACUUAGUCAAGAACCAAGUGUUUCAUAGAAGGUCUAAGCAUAUUGAUAGACGAUAUUACCGGAUAAGAGAUUGGGUGAACAAUAAGGAUAUUGUAAUAGAGAAGGUUCAUACAGAUGAGAACGCUUCAGAUUGCUUGAUCAAGCCAGUCACAGCUAAGAAGUUCAGACAUUUUUGAGCUUGCUCAAUCUUGUUGCAUGCUAAAGAUUGAGGUGGAGCUCUUGGGAAUUACUAGAACGGUUUUCCAAGAGGGUUGAAAAGGAUCUAGGGGUCGAUGAUUUUCACAAGGUAUUUAAGGCUUGCCAAUGUGGAUAUUGUUGAUGUUGGCUCACCUCAAGAUAUGGAAGGAUUGAAGGAAACGGGCAGUCAAACGAGCAACAGACGUGUUGACUGGGCUCUGGCCCUCAAGUGGCAGAACUCUGACUCGAGAUGAAACAGGCGCUCGAGCGGCGCGAGUGGCGCUCUAGCAAGACACGUGAAUCCAGCGUGUAUCCCUGACUUAUCUGGACAGAUUUUCUCUUAGUUUUGAGAUGUUUUAGGUUUCCUAUUCCUUGUAUAAUAGUACUAAAAUCCCAUGAAGUAUAAAUAGGCACUUUAGCACUAGAUUUUGAUAACGUGAGAAAAUUAAGACAUCAAAUUGGGUUGAGCCAAGGGUGAAAGAAAAGAGAGUUAGGAUUUGUGAGAGAGCAAAUGGGCUUCUUCAUUGUAACCAAAGAGGUUCUUUCGUACUAGUGAAUUUCUUAGGGAUCACCAAGAGGACGUUGACACAACGGCAAACCUCUAUAAAUUCUUGUGUUCUUUGUUUGUGUUUAUUUUUCAGUUUGUGUGUGUGCUUUAUCUUUUCGUGACUUGUGUGUGAUUGUUGCGUAGUCAAUCAACAAUAUGGUCUUGAAGUGUUAUGAUUUUAAAGUGCCUAUGUCUUUGUCACUGUGUGUUUCGUACUUUUUGGAGCAGAAGGAAAAACACAAAACCACCGAACACUUUACAAUUUUGUCUGUCCUUUCCCCCUUAUUGAUAUCAUUGAAAUAAAAGUUGCAAUGAAACCACAAGGUGCCAUUAAGAAGGUCAUAUCAUUACAUUACUUGCUCCCUGUAUACUGCUCAUGAACCGUGAAGACUUUAUCCAUGUAAAGUCAUUUUCCCAUUCAUACCUGCAUUAGUUCCACAACUAACAAGUGCCAAAAAAAAGUCUCUCCUUUUAAUUCCGCAACGUGCAUUCAAUAAGAUUCAAAACGUGGCAGAAAACAGUCCACACAAACGCUUCACGUGGCCACGUACCUUGGACCAAACAGCAUGUACACAGUACAUACAUCUACCAUUCUUAUAAACUUGACUUUAAGUUGUAGAAAAUUUGAGAUUUAAAGGGGAUUUGCUCCAUCAUUUGCAUUCCAGAAUUCUAGCAAAGAUCAGAUUCAGUUUCUGCCAAAAAAAAAAAAAAGGAAGAAGAAGAAAGGUUUGCAUGGCUACCGGUGAAGUAACUGUAGUAGUGGAGAACAUAGAAGGGAACAUGGAAGGGAAAACUGAAGCAACAGACAACUCGAAAGAGAAAGUUGCAAGGUUAGUUUGUAUAUAUACGUACAACUUUAACAUGCAUGCACCAUUUUCAUUUUUCCUUUCUUAAAUAAAUAUUCUUAUAUCAAACAAUGCAAAGUCCCCACUACAGAACAUAACCUUUUCGUUCAAAAAAGAAAAAAGAAAAAAAAAGAACAGAACCUUUUGUUGUUUUGAGAACAACUAAAGUCAUUGCGUUGUAAUAAGCCAAAUAUUUAAACACAUAUGGUGGUACAUAUAAUAAAAUAAUACAUAGUAAAAUUAAAUUAAUGGACUGCUUUUUCUUGUCAAACGAGCUGAUAUGCGCAAAUUUACAUUUUUUUUUUUUUUUCGUUUUUGUUUUUCUCCAGUGAUCGUUAUUCAAAUUCAGAGGCAACAGUGAAAAACUCAGCCAUGAAAGAUGAAGAUGGAUCAAAUAAAAAAGAGGACGAAAAUCAUGAUACUCGUUGGGGGGCUUUCCUUCAAAUGUGGAAGAAGAUAUUUGUAGUAUCAUGUCUGUUUACUGUUGCACUGGAUCCAUUGUUUCUCUACGUUCCUAUGAUGAAGGAUGAUAUCAAGUGCCUGCUGGCCGACAGAAACUUGAAGACAACAGCUCUUCUUUUAAGAUCACUCACUGAUCUUUUCUAUAUAUUUGACAUUAUUUUGUAAAUUUAUACAUCUGCUAAAUAUCGUGUCAGUGUCACACAAAACGACUCGAAAAUAAGGUUUUCGUGGAAAUCAACAAUAGCUAAGAUGUGGGUAUUCUUCCGCUUCUACAAUAAUAUCUUCAUUGACAUUUUGGCUAUUCUUCCGCUUCCACAGGUUAGACCUUUAUUGGAAUUUACUGACUAGUAGCAAAAGAGGCAAAAGCCACAAUUUACCUAGCCACAGUGGGCCGACAGUGGCCAAUAUUAGUGAUCUUUGCUCGUGAUAAUUUGAUUUUAAAUGUUUGUAUUAUGUUGUCCAGGUAGCAAUUUUCAUCUUCCUUUCAAAAAUGAGGGACUUGAGAUCUUUGAGCACAAAAAGGAUGGCUAUUAUGAAUCUUUUUGUUUUGUUGCAAUAUGUGCCACGAGUUCUUCGGAUCUACUUAUCAUGUAAGGAACUUAAAAAAACUCCUAAAGAAGAGAUCAAAGAAACUGCUAUAUGAGUUAAAGGUGUCUUGAAUUUCUUUAUGUAUAUCCUGGUUAGUCAUGUAAGUAACAAUAUUUAAUCUUGAUAAAUGAUUUGGUUGGAUUUUUUUUUCCGUAAAAGGCUAGGUUCUUAACUCAAUCAACCUUGAUGAAUGGAAAAUGUACAUGGGGCAAAAUGAUCCAUAUUACAAUAGAGUAGGCAUAUACUUAAUAUUCUUGAGUUACAUUUUCACAAAACAAUAAUGUUUCAUAACAUUAAGUCCUUCUUCCAAUCCUUAUUCGUGUAUGUUCUUUUUUCCUUUUUGUUAUAACCAAAGGCAUUCAAACUCUAGUCUCUUGGGCGUAAGGGUAAAUACCUCGUACUGCUAUAGGUAGAAACUCUCAUAAUUUUCAGUCUAUGUUUAAAGGGUGAAGAUAAGUUGUUGAAAUAAGGAAACUGUCCUAAUCACGAGAAUCUAAUGUUGUGACGCAAGGAGGCGACUCCUUCCAAAUACGCCAAAUUUGACAGUAUUUGAUAAAUAUAUUUUGAUGUAUUUUUGUUUAACUUGAGUGAAGUCAAAAAUUAAAAUAUAAUUUUAUUCAUAUUUUCAUCAUCACCUCUAAGUCUAAUCUAAUUAACAAACUUGUUAUUAUUUAGGUACUUGGAGCUAUAUGGUAUUUUUUCGCUAUUCAACGAAUGACCAUUUGUUGGUGUGAUGCAUGUCGGAAAAAAAAGGGAGGUGAUACUAGUUCUUUUGGCUGUCAUGAGCAUAACACAUUUAGAAAUAUUAAAUUUUUAAAUGAUUUAUGCCCUAUAAGUCCAGCGAAUACAACGCUCUUUGAUUUUGGUAUAUAUAGUACAAUCCUUCAAUCUGGUAUACCAGGGUCAACAAAAUAUUUUCAAAAGAUCUCCAAUUGUUUUUGGUGGGGACUGCGAAAUUUGAGGUUUGUAAUUUUUUUUUUUUUUGGUGUUGUUUGUUUGAACUUUGAUGGGUAAUGAUGAAUUUGCUUACUUCCAAUCAUAUAUAUGUUUUACCAUUUCAUUUUUGCAGUUCUCUUGGUUAAAAUCUUGAGCCUAGCGUGGAUGGAUGGGAGAACCUCUUUGCUGCGUUCAUCUCUAUAAUUGGAUUGCUUUUAUUCUUAUAUCUCAUUGGAAAUUUGCAGGUUAGGCUUGAGUUUAAUUUAAAGAAAGUUGAAUGUAUCGUUUUUGAUUUGAAGGAUUCAUAAAUAACUAAUACCUAGUUAAGAAUGACUGAGCUGCUUGUUGUGGCAUGCAUAUAUAUAUAUAUAUAUAGACAUACAUGCAGUUGAUUACUGCACGAAGAGAAGACCAUAGACACAAGGUGAAAGUGAAACGAAAGAUGGAAAAGAAAGAUAAAGAGACAGUUGUGGUUAUCUGAAAAUGGCAUCCCCAAAAAGUUGAAGAAGACGGGGAUGCUGAUUUGGACUAUAUCUUCUCUAUUCUUCAAAUCCGUAUUAAAAAAUAUAUGCAGGUAAGUUCCUCUAAACCCAUGACUUUAAUUAAGUAGUAGUGGCCUUUCCAUCUACAUAUACUCCAGGCUGAAAACACCCAUCCUAAUCUCAUUUAGUAAAAAACAGUAAACAAGUACAUCUUUGAAAACUUGCAAAUUCAUAACCAAACUCAUGAAAGACCUAAAUGGACCAAAACCAUUUUAAUUGCUUACGUGACAAUAACGAGUCCCACUUUUUACUCUGAUAAGAAUUCCAGGUGGGUGAAAAAAAUUAAAAAAUUAUAUAUAUUUUAAAUUCAUUUACCACAUUUUUAUCCCACAUUUCUAUACCACAUGAUGUGGUAUGCCUAUAUCAUAUGCCAUGUCAAUUAAUUUAAUGAAGUAUAUCUCUAUAUUUAAAGCAAAAGGCAAAGAAUGGUGAAACAUUCAAAAUACUGGGAAAUGCCCUUGGUUAAUUCAAACAUUAAGAAUUGAACUUAUUAAUUAAAUGAGGAUAAUAUCAUAAAUUCACAUUUUUCUAUUUAAAAAAAUUAAAAUUAAAAACAAAAUAAGAUAAUAGGCCCUACUUUUAUGGAACAUAACUACUCAUGUUAUCUUUUCUUAAUUCUAAAAAUAAAAUAAAAAAUAAAAAAUAAAACCAAUUGGCACAUGCUCGGGCUAGUUCAUGUGCCAAGGGGCUAGUUUUAAUAAAGAAAUUUUAAUUAAUUGUGUUUUUUAAAGUGUUAAUAAAUCAUAAAAGAAAAAAAUUAAAUAAAUUUAAUUGAUGUGGUUGUCUACCUCAUUUGCCACAUAAGGUGGUAUACAAAUAUGAUAAGAGUAGCAUUAUUCAAAAAAGUUAUAAAAUAAUAAAAAACACAAUGAUCAACCAGCCCCACCUCCUCUCCCCGAUCUCCAUCCUCCGUUCCUCCCAGCCCCCAGCUCCCACCCCUUCACCGUCAACCUAACCCAUCCAUCCCCACCCGCUCCCUUUGUCUCCUACAAACCAACGACCUAACUCUCCCUCUCCUUUUUAAGAAACCAUAUGUCAAUGAAGGUGAAGACAUUCCCACCCAAACUUAUCUAAGAAACCCCAAUCAUCUUCCCAAUGGCGGGUAAUAGUUAGCUGGUGAAAGGACCCGCCCCGAAUUUUCUCAAAACUCGAGACGAACCCUUUGGAAUUCCUGACAUCACUUUGAUGCCAGACCCAAUUACUAAAGACCGAGACUUCCUGCAGGAAAUUUCGGCAGAGUCUCCCCUAUAAAUUGGACAUUUUCCAAAAUUUAUACCUGCAUGAAAACGCAUUUAAUAUUCCCAACUGGCAGCAUGCACAAUAUAAUUUCAUGCAAUUCACACAGAUGGCCUUCGGCCUUCCAAUAAUUCUUAACCAACUACCAAGCAAUUCAAAUACAAAUUAUGACUAAUAUUUAGUCUGCGGCUGCACCUAAUAACCUUAGGCUGCCUACGUACCCUCCUUGAAGGAUCAAGCCACACGUAGUUCUUCCCUAAAAAUCCAAUUCCACACUUGGGCGAUGCCUUAUUUCAUUUCUCUGUAUUUCACAUAUUCUCCCCAUACGCCGGUACAACCAACGCCACGUAUGAGGCCUGUCAACACGCCGGAUAACCUACGCCACGUGCGACCAUGCCAUACUAUCAUAAUAUCUCCUCAUACGCCGGUACAACCAACGCCAAGUAUGGGGCCUGUCCCAACGCCGGAUAACCUACGCCACGCGGGACCUCAAUAUCAUAUCACAAAUCUCCCCAUACGCCGGUACAACCAACGCCACGUAUGGGGUCUGUCGACACGCCGGAUAACCUACGCCACGUGCGACCUCAACACAAUAUCACAUAAUCUCCCCAUACGCCGGUACAACCAACGCCACGUAUGGAGCCUGUCUCAACGCCGGAUAACCUACGCCACGUGAGACCUGAACAUCAUAUUACAUAGCUCCCCAUACGCCGGUACAACCAACGCCACGUAUGGGGCCUGUCCCAACGCCGGAUAACCUACGCCACGCGGGACCUAACUUUCACUUGGCGGUACUUGUAGUGAAUCCAACAUCCGGGGCUCCGAUUCACGAUCUGUGAAUUCCUACACGAUCCUAGAAAUACGUAGAUUAACAUAUAUUAAAUUUGGGACCAUCCGACGGUCCCAACCUAUCGAACCCGGAUAACGCACAAUAUGCGAUUAUCCGUUCGAUAGUCAAACGAUGUCCGAAUUGAGAUCCGCGAAAUCCUACGCACUCGUGACAACCUAAGGAUCUCAUCGGAACACAGUGCUACUUUUCUACAGUGUCCACGCGCCGCCGCACGCUCCGGCAGCGUGUGGGUGCCCAAAGCGAUAACGCUUUGCCGGAAAAGCUCAAAACCACGGCUCCAAACUCCUACCCUAGGUAUAACACACUAUUUGGAGCCACUUUUGUUCUUGGACCUACCCCAAAAAGUGGCCGGAAAUGGCCGAUCACGGCGGCCGAAGUUCGGCCGAUUUUCAAUUUGAAAAUCGAGUUGUCUACGCUAAGAAUCGAUCUAAUCCUUUCCAACCAUCAGCUAGAGCAGCUCGAGAGGUUCAAAAUCCAUACCUGGGUCGACGGAAUUGGUGGCCGGAGGAGGGAGAUCGGCGGCUGUGAAGAUCCGGCGACGUCGGCCGCUUCUUCUCCAAAUUCCGGCGAAACCGCGGAUGCUGGAGGCGGGGGCUGGCUGGGGUAGAAAGAGGACGACGGCCAGGUCAUUUUGGUACCGAUCCCGUCGUCAUCGGUGGCCGGAGGAGAGCAUGGCCGGCCAAAACGUGACCGGCUGUCGCGCGCGAGAGAGAGGAGAGAGAGAGACCCGCGGGGGAGAGAGAGAGAGAGAGAGAGAAAAAUCUGAGUUUUAUAAAAAAUUCCAUUUCGAAAUAUUUACGAUUGUGCCACUGGGCUUCUUUUGACCAUAUCUCUCUCGUUACAACUCCGAUUCGAGCCCACUACGUGUUUAUGAACUCGUCUCAGUACGACCUUUUCAAAAAUACUAGUUACUGCCCCAAACUCUCUUCGGUUAAAAAUAUGACUAAAAUACUCUUAAAUAAUUAAUUAAUUAAAUAAGGGUUAAAUUCGGGGUCGGGGUGUUACAGCUGGUUUGUCAAAUCCUUCUCUCAACAACAAUCGGGGGACUCAAAGAAGCGCAAAGAGGCGCAGUUGCACCUCCCCUCGCCGGAUACCAUAGAAGUCAGUCAUUUUGACCCCUUGGGCGGCUGGGCAAGAAUGCCCACAACCUGUUUGUGGGAAAGCCGGAAUAAAGAGCAACAAAGCAGCAAGUGCGGUCUAUUUUUCUUUUUAAUAUGUUUUAAGAUCUCCGUGUGCAUUAUACGUGUUUAGUUUUUGUUCUAUCAAAGACCACAUCAUGCUGCUACUUUAGUUUGAGGGUAGAGCAGUCAUUAGAGCUUACUAGAAUAUGCAUUUCAUAAAAAAAAGAAGGAAUAAUUGGAAGUGAGUUUUCAUGUUUUAUUAGGACCACCAAAAAAGAAGUGGAGAGAUACUAGAGUUUGAUGGCUUAACCUAAAAAUAUUUUGAUAUAUAUAUAUAUAUAUAUACAGUCCCUUUUUAUUGAGGGAUUUCUCAAAUAAUUUCAUUUGAGGGACACCCUUUAGGGUCCUCUACGAAUUUUUUUUCAACGAUCGAAACCAUCUAUUUUUUAAGUCUAUAUUCAUAGAUAAUCCUUGAAGAAAAUUAGACAAAUCGGAAACUGUUUUGAUAUCCAAUUGUGUCCUACAAAAUCAAUGAACACAAUGCUUCAAGAAAGUACUAAAAUUUCAAUAAUUCAAUUGAGUGGUCAAAUGAUAUCGGAUUCAAGUGAUUUUUUGUAGAGAUAUCUUUGAAUGAGUAUCUACAAAAGAGAUGGUUUGGAUUAGUGAAAUACAAUACAGAGUGGGCCCUACAAUGGUAUCCCUCAAAUAAGCUAAUUUGAGGGAUCCCUCAAUGGAAGCUCUCUGUAUAUAUAUAUAUAUAUAUGAUCUUUGAAUGAGUAUCUACAAAAUAGACGGUUUGAAUUAGUGAAAUACAAUAUAAAGAGGGGCCUAAAAGGGGUGUCCCUCAAUGGAAGCUCUCUGUAUAUAUAUAUAUAUAUAUAUAUAUAUAUAACUUAACUCAAACUUCAGACUAAUGCAUAUGCAGAAAAUAAUGCAUAUAUGAAAUUAAUCAAAAUAGGAUAAUUUUGAAAAUAGCAACUUUUUAUUAUACUCACAGAGGUUGCAACUGCAAAUAAGCUUAUUUGAGGGACACCCCUGUAGGCCCCACUCCGGUUUGUAUUUCAAUAAUCCAAACCGUCUAUUUUGUAGAUACUCAUUCAAAGAUCAUCCCUACAAAAAAUCUCUUGAAUCCGAUAUCAUUUGACCACUCAAUUAAGUUAUUGAAAUUUUAGUAUUUUCUUGAAGUACCGUGUUCAUUGAUUUUGUAAGACACAAUUGGAUGUCGAAACGGUUUCCGAUUUGUCUAAUUUUUUGUUAGGAUGAUCUAUGAAUGAAGACCUAAAAAAUAGAUGGUUUGGAUCAUUGGAAAAAAAAUUGUAGGGUACCCUAAAGGGCGUCCCUCAAUAGAAGGGGACUGUAUAUAUAUAUAUAUAUAUAUAUGAAGCAAGUAUUUAGAACUUAAAUGAAGAAAACGCAUCCAAUUACAACCAUUACAUAUCAUCCUAGCUACACGGUACUAACUUUUAGAAGAUUUGCUUCAUAUUUUUCUCAAAUAUUGUAUCUAUUUAUAGGUGCCACUACUUAAAGGCAUGGACGAAGGAGUUUUGAGAGAAAUCUCUGAGAAGCUUAAGCCCGAGAAGUAUACCCGUGGAGAAAUCAUUAUAAACAAGGAUGAAACACUUGAAAUGAUGCUUUUCAUCGUGGACGGACAUGUAACCAUUGAAAAGGAAAAUUCUCAGUUGCAAUUAGGCGCACAAGAUUUUUAUGGAGAGAAACUUCCGUUAUCUGUUUUGUGGACCUCCUCUAGUGAUGCAAAACCCAUAAACGAGUCUGUUCAGGCCAUUGGACUGUUGCAAUCCAAUGGUACAAAUUCAAUUUUUCCAAUUUUUUUAAUUAAAAAAACUAAGUGUCUAUUUCCAAUCAGACAACCUUGAUUGAAUCUAAUGAAAUUUAACGGUAAAAAAAAUAUCCAAGGCCAAAAGGUUGAUAUUAGUUAAUUUAUAUCAUAUUCAACCUCGAAAAUGAUUCCUAGGUCUAUAUACCCACCCAUUUGUUCAUAAUUCGUGCCUCUUUCUUUUAUAAUCAAAUACAAUUAUAUUUUUAUAAUUUAUAACUUUCUAGUGAAAAUGUUCAUAAAACUAAUUUUUUUUAAAUGUAAACAAAAAUUAAUUCCAUACAAGUUCAUCAAAAAAUUUGAGAUUAAGAUACAAUACGAGUUUUAUUGGAGUUGAAUAUAAGUCAGUUUUUAAAAGUCUCGCCCAUUUAAAAGUAAAGUUCGAGUAAUAAAAGAAAUAAAUUAUUAACACACAAUACGAGUGCCCGUGAUAUUGAUGCAAAUUUACCCUUCUAAAUCAAUAAUUAUGGGCUAUUUUGUGCUCCAAAGUUCAUAUUCUGCUGAGCACUCAUCGCUUUAAUUUGGAUACUAAUCAGAAGGAUAAUUGCACAAAGCUGUGAAACUAAAUUAUAUUGAAUCUCGUGAAAGUCACGUACGUAUAGAUCCAUUUACAUAUAUUGAAUUAUCUAAUUUGACUUUGUCCUUCACGUGAUUCAAAUAAUGUGGUAAAAUUGUUUUUUAAAUAAUGAUGAUGAUGAUUUGCACCAACUUCCUAAAAAUGUGGAAAUUUUGUUUUUUUUUAAAAUUGCGAGUCGCCAUCUUCAUCUUCACCUUCAUUUGUGGUGACUUUGAUAGUCUAACUGAUAUGAUUUUAAAACGUCUAUGUCUUUGUCGUUGUGUUUGUCCUUCCUCCUCUGUCAACCACAAUUAUUGUUCACAGCCAGUUGCCUCUGAUUCGCUACACUUAGUGGAAGAGUAGUAGGGGACAAGGUUUAUCAAAUGUCUACUACACUAAGUCUCUCACAUAUCUUAUUUUAUAUAGCAAUUAUUGUUGAUCUAAACUCUUAGAAGCUUCAAAACGAGAGCAUCUACCAUUCUUAUAAUUAACUUGACUUCAGUUUGCUCCCAUCAUUUGCAAAUUCCACUAGCAAGAUCAGAUUCAGUUUCUGGAAAAAGAAAAAAAGACAAGAAAACAAAAAAGCUUUGAGUUUUAUAUGGCUUCCGCUCACGGUGAUUUAGAGAACGCUGAAGCAAGGUUGGUUUCUCUAUAUACGUACGAGUUUCAUAUGCAUGCCCCAAAUUCAACUUUUUUCCUUUCUUACAAAAAUAAAUGUUUUUAAUUAUAUUGUUAUUGAUCUAGAACAGUUUAACCUUUUGUUGUUUUAAGGACAUGCUAAAGUCAUUGCAUUGCUAUAACAUUAAUAAUAGUAUAAUCACAGCCAAAUCUUUAAUUAUAUCCUAUAUACGUAAUUUUAUGUUCUUUGUGUCUUGGCCAGCAGAACAGAUUAUCCAAAUUCAAACCAGACAACGGAAAAUUCUUCCACGAGAGAUGUAGAGGUGAAAAAUUCAAAAAAUGCAGCACGGUUGACUAAAAUAUUUAUAACAUCAUGUGUGCUUGGCGUUUUCCUGGAUCCUUUGUUCCUCUACAUUCCUCUCCUCAACCACGAUUUGAAGUGUCUGAGGUUGGACAACACCAUAAAGAUUAUCGCUCUCGUCUCGCGAUUGUUCACUGAUCUAUUUUAUGUAGGCAGAAUAAUUUUGCAAGUUUGUAGAUUUGAAAAUUGUUCGCCUUUCAUGAAUCGAAUUCUUCCCGAAAGUUGCUCCUCCAAGUUAAUAACAUCAUUCAUCAAAUGCUUUCGUGAGUUAUUACCUGAAGUAACUGAAGUUCAUGAGAAGGAAUAUCUAAUACCAAGUAUAACAAAGGAGAUACUGGAGUCGUCCAUCAUAGUUGACAUUUUAGCUAUUCUUCCUCUUCCACAGGUAUGAAGAAAAGCUCUUUGAUAUCUAGACUCUAGAUCCAGUAGUUAAUUGCUUUUCCAAUCUCACUGUUUUUAUUUUUUAUUUUGGUCAUAAAUCUCACUGUUUUUGUUUGCAUGCAAUGAUAUAUAUAUAUAUAUAUAUAUAUAUAUAUAUAUAUAUAUGAGUUGGUCCUUUAUGAGUUGUUCUCUACUACGGACGUCCAUAUUUUUUCUAACAUCGUCCUACAUGUUCUUUUGCCUUCCUUGUGAUAAUAAAUUAACCUUAUCACUUUUCUUGGUAAAGGUAGAAUAGAAACCAUGCUCUACCAAUACUUAAAAGUCAAACAUCACCUCUAGAUUGGCUUUUCCUUCAUUGGUGGCCUGUAGAGAGAAUUUGGAGGCUGUUAUGUGUGCUUUAGUGCCUUUUUUUUAAUGAUAAAGAAGAGAGAUGUAGAAAACAAAAUGGAAAUGGUUUUCUUCCCAUUGAAUGAAUGAAUUCAUUCUGAUCAUGUGAAAAAAACAAAACGAGUCUGGACAUUAAGCAAUUCCGGACGUCCGCACUAGAGAAUAGUCCUCUAUAUAUAUAUAUAUAUAUAUAUAUAUAUAUAUAUAUAGAGCUUUUAUUAAGGGAUUCCUCAAAUUAGCUUAUUCGAUGGACACCUUUGUAGGGUCUACUUCGCAUCAUAUUUCACUAAUCCAAACCGUCUAUAUUUUAGAUAAUCAUUCAAAGAUUAUCUUUACAAAAAUCACAAGAAUAUGAUAUCGUUUGAGCACUCAAUUGUGUUAUUGAAAUCUUAGUACUUUCUUGAAGCACCAUGUUCAUUGAUUUUGUAGGAUACAAUUGGAUGUCGAAAUGUUUUCCGAAUUGUCUAAUUUUUUGCAAGGAUGAUCUAUGAAUUUAGACUUACAAAAUAGAUGGUUUGGAUCGUUAGAACAAAAUUCAUAGUAUACCCUAAAUGGUGUGGGAUCCCUCAAUAGAAAGGGAUUAUAUAUAUAUAUAUAUUAGGGAUCCCUCAAAUAAGUUUAUUUAAGAGACACCCUUGUAGGACCCACUUUGUAUUGUAUUUCACUAAUUCAAAUCGUCUGUUUUGUAGAUAUUCAUUCAAAGAUCAUCUUUACAAAAAAAAUCACUUGAAUCCAAUAUCAUUUGACCAUCAUAUUGAAAAUUUUGUACUUUUUUGAAGCACCGUAUUCAUUAAUUUGUAAGACACAAUUAGAUGUCGAAACGAUUUUCGAUUUGUCUAAUUUUUUGCAAAGAUGAUCUAUGGAUGUAGACUUAAAAAAAUAGAUAGUUUGGAUCGUUGAAAAAAAUUCCGUAUGGGACCCCAAAUGUAAAUGGUGUCACCAUAAAGAUUCAAGGACUUUAUAUACUGUUAUAAUGAUCUGAAGACCAAGUGAUCAAUACCUCGGUGGCUAUAAGUAUCAUUUCAACCAUAUUAGAUAACAUUUUGACCAGUAGCGGGGCCAGUAUUUCACAUUAGAGGGGGUCUUUCAUAAAAUUUGUCUUCUCUUCAUAAUUAUCAUGAAUUUCAUAUUUUAAAUUGGUUAAAUAUUAAUUUUAUCAUCUAAACUAUUAAAGACUUAAAAAUUAAUCAUUUAUAUUCCAACAGAUAAAAAGAAAUGGGGAAGAAAAAAGAGUUCAUAAAGUGCAAUAUUAAGGUACCCAACUCAUACGAAAAAAAAAUUAGGAAAAUAAAAAAUUAACAAAAGUUUAAAUAAAAUGUUAAAACUUUAGGAGUUUUUUGUGCAAAUAUCAUAAACUAGCCUCGAAGAUUUAAGGGAGAUAAAGAAAUUUUACAGUUUAUUUGUAUACAAAAAGAACAUAAUAUUUUAUUUUAUUUUAGAGUAAAUAUCCUAAAAUCAAUCUAAUAUAUUAUAAUAUUGUAUAUCAUAUAUAAUAUACAAAUAAAAUAGGUAAAAAUGGAGUGGGGACAUGGGACCACACUGGUCCCAUGCUGGCUUUGCCCCUGAUUCUGACUAUGUUUGAUAGAAUGGAAUAAGAAUACAUUUAUCAUGAAGACUGGGCAUCGUCUCUGCUAUUUCGAUUUCAACCAAAUAAAACUAGGGUUAAUUUCAAUUAGAAUGCUAAACUUUCACCCUUAAGGCACGUUUGUCUAUGCACUCUCAAAUUUAACAAUUAUGAAUUCUAAUCUUAUUAAUUUUUUGCAAUCUAGUUUAUGCAUUAACUUCACUAGUGAAAUUUCUGUUAAUUGCCCACGUGGCAGACUUGUGACCUACUUAUUCACUUCUUUUAAUGCUAGUUGAAGGGUAUUUUAGACAAUUGAUGUCAAAUGGGUUUGGGUGGGAAUUUUUUUAUUUGUGUCAAAUGGUUUGGGAGAGGAGACACCAAUUGCCUGAAAAUACCCUUCAAAUGACUUCAAAAGAAGUGAAUAGGUGGGACCUACCAUUGCCACGUAGGUAAUUAACAAAAUUUUUGACAUGUAAAGUUAAUGUUGGAACCAUAUUUCAAAAAAUUAAUAAGAUUAGGGUACAUAACUAUUAAAAUUGCAAGUGCAAACAUGCCUUAAGGGUGAAAGUUCAUGGUACUAAAUUGCCCAUUCAUAUUUGAGUGAUUUUGUAAAACUGAGAAAAGUAUUGGAAAAUUGAUUUGGUUGACGAAAGGCAGACAUCCUGGCGAAGAAAAGGGUACUGUAUUGUAGUCGGUUCUUUCAAUUAGGACCUUUUUUCCCUCUAAAAAAUCAUUAAGACUUUUGAACUAAUUAAUAAAUCCAUAUCAUUAAGCGAUGAUAUGACAUUGCCAUGUCACUUGGGAUCCAAUUGUCAAGUCACUUGAUACACAAAUUUAGUAUUUCUAGUAUUACCCUAAUUUAAUAUUUUGUCUCACGAUAUGUUGUUAAUAGUCGAUAUUAACAUUGCAACGUGUCCAGGUGGCAAUUCUCAUUUUCUUCCAAAGAUGAGGGUCUCAGAUCUUUCGGGGAGCGUAUUAUGAAUUUUCUUGUUAUGGUGCAAUAUGUACCACGAGUUCUUCGCAUCUACCUAUCAUGUAAGAAAGCUAGAAAACCUUUCAAAGGACAUAUCCCAUUAUGGCUUAAAGGUUUACUCAAUCUUUUUCUCUACGUUCUCGCUAGUCAUGUAAGUUUCACUUUAUCAUAAUUUAUUUAAUUUUAAAAAGUUCGCUUUCUUUAAAUAAAGGAUCAUAUUUUUCUCAAAAGUUCAAUCUAACAAGUUUGUUGUUUCUUUAGGUGCUUGGAGCGUUUUGGUACUUUUUUGCUGCUCAACAAAUGAUAAGUUGUUGGGAACAUGCAUGUCAAUAUGGAAAUGGAUGUGGCUCUACUACAUUUAAUUGUCACGAUCACCAAACGAUGAAAAAUAUUACAGUUCUAAAUAAUUCCUGCCCUAUAGAUCCACCAGAUACAACUCUCUUUGAUUUUGGUAUAUACCUAAAUGUCCUUCAGUCAGGUGCAUUGUGGUCAACAGACUAUCCCCUGAAGUUUUUGAACAGUUUUUGUUGGGGCCUGCGAAAUUUGAGGUUUGUACAUGUGAAACCAACGUAUACAUUGAUGCUGUUUUUUAAACUAGAGAGAUGGUUUUAGAUUUCCUUACAUUGAGCAAUUGAGAUUUGUAUAUAUUAUGUAUUCUGAUCCAUUUCAUGUUUGCAGUUCUCUUGCUUCAAAUCUCCAACCGAGUUUCUAUACAUGGGAAAUCGCCUUUGUAGCUUUUAUAUCUAUAAUCGGCUUGAUACUGUUUGUAUAUCUCAUUGGAAAUUUGCAGGUUGGUGCGGUGUAUAUAAAAAGUUCUCCUUAAGCUUAAAGCUCCUAAUUUGAUUUUUUUUUUUCCCUCAUUUAAUGAACUGAACCUUGUUGUUGUGAAGUAGACCUAUGUGCUUAUAGAUACUGAAAGGUUAGAGUCGCACAGACGCGAGAAUAAACUUAAACGGAAGAUUAAAGAAAAUGACCGAAAGGUAGAAUCAUGGUUAUCCGGCCAUGGCAUCCCCCUUAGCGAAAAGCAGAAGAUCAUGGAAGAGAUACAAAGAGAACUUGUUGAAAACUCGGAUUUUGAUGUGGUUAGGGAAAUCCUCUCUAUUCUUCCCCGCGAAUAUAUCAAAAGUUGCAGCCCAUUGAGUAGGCUGAGGAAGGUAGGUUCAUCGAAAACGCAUCGUAUUUAAAUUUUCUCCACCAUUAUUCGUAUCCAAUGAUGAUAUAUAUAUUAUAUUUUUAAUUGCUGAUUAUUUUUCUCAAAUAUUGUAUCUAUUUCUAGGUGCCACUACUUAAAGACAUGGACGAAGGAGUUUUGGUAGAAAUAUCUGAGAAGCUUCAUCCCAAGAAGUAUACUCCUGGACAAAUCAUUAUAAACAAGGAUGAAACACUUCAAAUGAUGCUUUUCAUCGUGGACGGAUGUGUAACCAUUGAUAAGAUAGAUUAUUCUCAGUUGGAACAUCUACGCCCAGGAGAUUUUUAUGGAGAGGAACUUCUAGUUUCCCCAUUGUGGACCUCGUCUGGUGAUGCAAAACCCAUAAACCAGUCUGUUCAAGCAAUUGAUGAUGUUCAAGCCCUUGUUCUCUCUGCCACAGACAUGGCGACCUUGAGCUUUAGUUCCAGGCGGCAUAUCAACGAGUUGCGCAUGGUGGUAACUAUUCUUCAGAAAGUAAGCUCCUCUCUAUUUAGAAGAUAUAUAAAAGAUGAAUAAUUGGAUUCUCACCUUCCAUCCUUGCUAGCUACUAACAUACAAUGACGUUACUUAUUUGUUUUAUAUAAUGUUCUCUUUAUGUUUGAGAAAUUAAUAAUGUGUCAAAUCCU
rnacentral:lncRNA from 1 species